GUAGGUGGCAAGCGUUGUCCGGAAUUAUUGGGCGUAAAGCGCGCGCUGGGCGGUCCUUUAAGUCUGAUGUGAAAGCCCACGGCUCAACCGUGGAGGGUCAUUGGAAACUGGGGGACUUGAGUACAGAAGAGGAAAGCGGAAUUCCAAGUGUAGCGGUGAAAUGCGUAGAGAUUUGGAGGAACACCAGUGGCGAAGGCGGCUUUCUGGUCUGUAACUGACGCUGAGGCGCGAAAGCGUGGGGAGCAAACAGGAUUAGAUACCCUGGUAGUCCACGCCGUAAACGAUGAGUGCUAAGUGUUAGGGGGUUUCCGCCCCUUAGUGCUGCAGCUAACGCAUUAAGCACUCCGCCUGGGGAGUACGGCCGCAAGGCUG
rnacentral:rRNA from 1 species